UCCGUAGGGGAACCUGCGGAGGGAUCAUUACACAAAUAUGAAGGCGGGCUGGAAUCUCUCGGGGUUACAGCCUUGCUGAAUUAUUCACCCUUGUCUUUUGCGUACUUCUUGUUUCCUUGGUGGGUUCGCCCACCACUAGGACAAACAUAAACCUUUUGUAAUUGCAAUCAGCGUCAGUAACAAAUUAAUAAUUACAACUUUCAACAACGGAUCUCUUGGUUCUGGCAUCGAUGAAGAACGCAGCGAAAUGCGAUAAGUAGUGUGAAUUGCAGAAUUCAGUGAAUCAUCGAAUCUUUGAACGCACAUUGCGCCCUUUGGUAUUCCAAAGGGCAUGCCUGUUCGAGCGUCAUUUGUACCCUCAAGCUUUGCUUGGUGUUGGGCGUCUUGUCUCUAGCUUUGCUGGAGACUCGCCUUAAAGUAAUUGGCAGCCGGCCUACUGGUUUCGGAGCGCAGCACAAGUCGCACUCUCUAUCAGCAAAGGUGCUAGCAUGCGCUGUAUAGCAGUGCGGUAGGCAGGAACAUAUCAAUAAGAGGAGGCAGUCUCGUGCAGUG
rnacentral:rRNA from 1 species